rnacentral:tRNA from 1 species
GCGAGGGUGGUGAAAUUGGUAGACACGCCAGACUUAGGAUCUGGUGCCUUAGGCAUAAGGGUUCAAGUCCCUUCCCUCGUA